UACGUAGGUGGCGAGCGUUGUCCGGAUUUACUGGGCGUAAAGAGCGCGCAGGCGGUCGUACAAGUCGCGUGUGAAAGCCCCCGGCUCAACUGGGGAGGGUCACGCGAUACUGUUCGACUCGAAGGCAGGAGAGGGUAGUGGAAUUCCCGGUGUAGUGGUGAAAUGCGUAGAUAUCUGGAGGAACACCGGUGGCGAAGGCGGCAUCCUGGACCAACACUGACGCUGAGUGAGCGAAAGCCAGGGGAGCAAACGGG
rnacentral:rRNA from 1 species